CCACCUCCUCUCUCUCUCUCUCUCUCGAAAUGGAAGCAGGACUGGCGAAUCGAUUAUCGAAGGUGGCUCUGCUUCUAGUGCUGCUUGUUUCGGUGGCGGUCCGCGCGGAGGACGCGCCGGCGCCGGCACCAGGAAUGGAGAGCGGAUCGAUCGCGGCUGUGCCUGGGCUCUGCGUGCUGCUUCUCACCGCCAUGGCUUCCGCGCUCGCUGCCUUCGCGCAUUGAGGGCCAAUCUCUCAAUGGCUCGUUCUAUGAACUGGAUCUAAGAAAACCCAUUUCUGCAGUUGUAUGAUCGGAUCUGUUUUGCUGAUUAAUCUGAGCAGCAUGAGAAAACUAGAAAUCAAGGUGGCAACAUAUGCUUCUCUUGCAGAAUGAAGCGGACGUGCACACCAUUCCGAUG